AUAAGAGAAAUCGAGUUGAAAAGAGAGAGAGAGAGAGGAAUCGUAUUCAAACACCUUUCUUAUUAUUUUACCAGCGAGAGACACGAUUGGAUUAAAAGCGACGCUAAA